rnacentral:lncRNA from 1 species
UUCUGACAUAGUCGAUUUCAGCUUAGGUUAGGACGAGGUCCUCCUCUUGUCGCUAACAGGGCUAUGGGGGCGCAUAUGGGCACUGCGGGGCCUCUCCCUCCAUCCAGUCUGAGUGUAACCGGGCCUUCGACUUUGCUCAUGUUAGGGCGAGGUUCUCCUCCUGUCCCUAACAUGGCUGUGGGGGCACAUGUGGGUAUUGCAGGGCCUCUCCUCUCAUCCGAUCUAAGGAGAACCGAGCCUUCGACUUUGCUCAUGUUAGGGCGAGGUUCUCCUCCUAUCCCUAACAUGGCUGUGGGGGCGCAUGUGGGCGCUGUUUGGCCUCUCCCCCC